rnacentral:rRNA from 1 species
AUUGAACGCUGGCGGCAUGCUUUACACAUGCAAGUCGAACGGUAACAGGUUAAGCUGACGAGUGGCGAACGGGUGAGUAAUGCAUCGGAACGUGCCCGAUCGUGGGGGAUAACGCAGCGAAAGCUGCGCUAAUACCGCAUACGAUCUGAGGAUGAAAGCGGGGGACCGUAAGGCCUCGCGCGAUCGGAGCGGCCGAUGUCAGAUUAGGUAGUUGGUGGGGUAAAGGCCCACCAAGCCGACGAUCUGUAGCUGGUCUGAGAGGACGACCAGCCACACUGGGACUGAGACACGGCCCAGACUCCUACGGGAGGCAGCAGUGGGGAAUUUUGGACAAUGGGCGAAAGCCUGAUCCAGCAAUGCCGCGUGCAGGAAGAAGGCCUUCGGGUUGUAAACUGCUUUUGUACGGAGCGAAAAGGUCCUUUCUAAUACAAGGGGCUCAUGACGGUACCGUAAGAAUAAGCACCGGCUAACUACGUGCCAGCAGCCGCCGUAACAC